rnacentral:rRNA from 1 species
AAAUUGAAGAGUUUGAUCAUGGCUCAGAUUGAACGCUGGCGGCAGGCCUAACACAUGCAAGUCGAACGGUAACAGGAAGCAGCUUGCUGCUUCGCUGACGAGUGGCGGACGGGUGAGUAAUGUCUGGGAAACUGCCUGAUGGAGGGGGAUAACUACUGGAAACGGUGGCUAAUACCGCAUAACGUCGCAAGACCAAAGAGGGGGACCUUCGGGCCUCUUGCCAUCAGAUGUGCCCAGAUGGGAUUAGCUUGUUGGUGAGGUAACGGCUCACCAAGGCGACGAUCCCUAGCUGGUCUGAGAGGAUGACCAGCCACACUGGAACUGAGACACGGUCCAGACUCCUACGGGAGGCAGCAGUGGGGAAUAUUGCACAAUGGGCGCAAGCCUGAUGCAGCCAUGCCGCGUGUAUGAAGAAGGCCUUCGGGUUGUAAAGUACUUUCAGCGGGGGGUAGCGGUGAAAUGCGUAGAGAUCUGGAGGAAUACCGGUGGCGAAGGCGGCCCCCUGGACAAAGACUGACGCUCAGGUGCGAAAGCGUGGGGAGCAAACAGGAUUAGAUACCCUGGUAGUCCACGCCGUAAACGAUGUCUACUUGGAGGUUGUGCCCUUGAGGCGUGGCUUCCGGAGCUAACGCGUUAAGUAGACCGCCUGGGGAGUACGGCCGCAAGGUUAAAACUCAAAUGAAUUGACGGGGGCCCGCACAAGCGGUGGAGCAUGUGGUUUAAUUCGAUGCAACGCGAAGAACCUUACCUGGUCUUGACAUCCACAGAAGAAUCCAGAGAUGGAUUUGUGCCUUCGGGAACUGUGAGACAGGUGCUGCAUGGCUGUCGUCAGCUCGUGUUGUGAAAUGUUGGGUUAAGUCCCGCAACGAGCGCAACCCUUAUCCUUUGUUGCCAGCGAUUAGGUCGGGAACUCAAAGGAGACUGCCAGUGAUAAACUGGAGGAAGGUGGGGAUGACGUCAAGUCAUCAUGGCCAUACGACCAGGGCUACACACGUGCUACAAUGGCGCAUACAAAGAGAAGCGACCUCGCGAGAGCAAGCGGACCUCAUAAAGUGCGUCGUAGUCCGGAUUGGAGUCUGCAACUCGACUCCAUGAAGUCGGAAUCGCUAGUAAUCGUGGAUCAGAAUGCCACGGUGAAUACGUUCCCGGGCCUUGUACACACCGCCCGUCACACCAUGGGAGUGGGUUGCAAAAGAAGUAGGUAGCUUAACCUUCGGGAGGGCGCUUACCACUUUGUGAUUCAUGACUGGGGUGAAGUCGUAACAAGGUAACCGUAGGGGAACCUGCGGUUGGAUCACCUCCUUACCUUAAAGAA